ACUCGUAGACUCCUACGGGAGGCAGCAGUGAGGAAUAUUUGGGCAAUGGAGGCAACUCUGACCCAGCCAUGCCGCGUGCAGGAAGACGGCCCUAUGGGUUGUAAACUGCUUUUUAUACAGGAAGAAACGCAUCUACGUGUAGGUGUUUGACGGUACUGUAAGAAUAAGGAUCGGCUAACUCCGUGCCAGCAGCCGCGGUAAUACGGAGGAUUCGAGCGUUAUCCGGAAUCAUUGGGUUUAAAGGGUCCGUAGGCGGUCUUAUAAGUCAGUGGUGAAAUCUUCCAGCUCAACUGGGAAACUGCCAUUGAUACUGUAGGACUUGAAUAUUUGUGAAGUAACUAGAAUAUGUAGUGUAGCGGUGAAAUGCUUAGAUAUUACAUGGAAUACCAAUUGCGAAGGCAGGUUACUAACAGAUUAUUGACGCUGAUGGACGAAAGCGUGGGUAGCGAACAGGAUUAGAUACCCUGGUAG
rnacentral:rRNA from 1 species